rnacentral:tRNA from 1 species
CAAGACAUAGCUAAUCAGUAAGCCCCUCCUUUACGCGGAGUAGAUAUCUGUGCAAUUCAGAUUGUCUUGA